CAAGGUCUACAUACCACCCUGAACGUGCCAGAUCUCAUCUGAUCAUAGAAGCUAAAAAGGAUCUGGUCUGGUUAGUUCUUGACUGGGAGAAGGGACUGUUUAUUCUUCUGGGAGGAGAAAUAGGGGGCACCAUGU
rnacentral:rRNA from 1 species